rnacentral:lncRNA from 1 species
GGGCGCGCUGUGGUGCGGUGCUCACAGCUCGGGGCUGGCUCUGCGGGGCUGCCGCUGGCUCUGCCAUGCCUCUGAGGAGCGUGUGGCUCCUCUGGGAGCCUGCUGGCUCCUGGGGUUGCAGGAAAAUGGAGCAAGUUGUGCUGUGUGGAGCUGCUGCCAGAUGCUGCCCAUGUCCGCCCCAAGUCUCCUCUGGUCUCCCAGCCGUACCCUGACUUUGUGCUUUGGCAGGGCACAGUAAGAACUGCUCUGAAUGUAUUGCUGCUGUAAAUGUGUUAUGUACGCUUCUGCUGUGAGAUUUCAGGUCCUGAGCCAGCUCUGUAACAGCCUCAGAGAGCUGCCUUUCUGCUGGGCAUGGGCAGCGACUGGCCUCAUCUGCGGGCAGCUUCCCUCCCUGCAGCACCCCGUUCUUGGUUACUGAGCCUCAGCUUGGGGUGGGUACCAGCCGAGCUGGGGUCUUCUCUUGUUUUUUGGUGGAACGUGAGUUUUUUAAAGUAGUUUUUCCCUGGAGUUGGAGCUCUGGGUGUCAGUUCAGCAGGAGCCGAAGUUUUGCUGCAGAGAAGCCGUGGUUUCUCUGUAGCACCUCGAGCCAGGUUUCUCAACCAGCCAGGAGUAAUGCUGGGUGCGUGCUUGGUGUUUUUCUGGGGUGAUUAAUUGCAAACGCAGCCUCUCGCACCCAGCUUCCUCGAGCAGUGUCUGUCAGCUUGGCCACCCGGGGCAGGGCCCAGCUUGGCCAUCGCAUCACCAUCCCCAGUGAGGGAGCCGCCGCGGUGUGGGCGCACCGUGCAGCCUGCCCUGCCCUGCCGGAGUGGCUGUUCUGUGCCUCCUGCCCUGCCUGUGGCUUCAGGAGGCUUUUCUUUGCCUGCUUGUCGCUCCCUGCUUCCCCGAUGCCUGCUGCAUUGCUUUGUUACCUUCGCGCUGGAGCCAGCCUUUGUGUUUCAUCUCCAUUUCCAUAGCAGCUCUCCCCAGCGCACUGUCCCUGCCCCGGGAUGAUAUCCAUAAAAAUGACACUUCCUCGUCUCGGAAAAGCUCCCCAGGCCCGGUGGAGACGUGUAAAAAGGGCACCCAGCAGGAGGAGAGGCCCACGGCUCGAAAUAUUCAUCAAUCAUUUUCCUGGCACCAGGAAACCGAUCGGCCCUUCUGAGGGGCAGAGCGUGAUCCAUCACCCCGGCUGGGAAGCGGGGCCGCUGCCCGGACAGCAGCGUCGGCGGGGGAAGCGCCGUGUCCGUGUCCCUGUCCGUGUCCGUGCCCGUCCCAGGAGGUGACGCACACACGAGGACGGGCAGGCUGCUUCUGUGUGUGAAAACAAACAAACGG